UUCAGCGAUCUAUUCACUUUAGCACACAGCUCACUCUCUGCAUUACCACUCUGAUCCAGUUAAGUUGUACUGCUCCACCUCGUUGGAGUUCUAUGUAUAUUUGUAAAACAAA